rnacentral:sRNA from 1 species
UUUUUUUUUUUAGGAAUUAGUAGAAAGAAAAUAAGGGAAAGAAAAUGGGGUUAUGUUUAUGAAUACAUAAAUAGACCAGAAGUAGAAAACUGUGGUUUGCUUGCUGGCAUUGAGCUGUAUUAGGAUAUUAAAUGUGUAGGGUCAAGUUCUGUGAUGAUUCAAUCUUUGCCUUGUAUUGAUGGCAUGUCCAGAUCUCUUUGUUUUUAUGGACAUUUUUUGCUUUGCUGAUGUGACUUCAAGAUUUGUAAGUUUUUAAUUUUAUUCUUAGGUAUGGAGAGAAAAACAAUGCAUUCAUUGUUGCCAGCUUUGAAAAUAAAGAUGAGAACAAGGAUGAGAUCUCCAGGAAAGUUACCAGGGCCCUUGAUAAGGUUACCUCUGAUUAUCAUUCAGGAUCCUCUUCUUCAGAUGAAGAAACAAGUAAGGAAAUAGAAGUGAAACCCAAUUCGGUGACUGCAGCCGCAAGUCCUGUGUACCAGAUUUCAGAACUUAUAUUUCCACCUCUUCCAAUGUGGCACCCUUUGCCCAGAAAAAAGCCAGGAAUGUAUCGAGGGAAUGGCCAUCAGAAUCACUAUCCUCCUCCUGUUCCAUUUGGUUAUCCAAAUCAGGGAAGGAAAAAUAAACCAUAUCGCCCAAUUCCAGUGACAUGGGUACCUCCUCCUGGAAUGCAUUGUGACCGGAAUCACUGGAUUAAUCCUCACAUGUUAGCACCUCACUAACUU